GAGCGCGUAGCUCAGGGGUAGNNAGGGGUAGAGCGCUUGCUUGACAUGCAAGAGGUCGCAGGUUCAAAUCCUGCCGUGCUCACCA
rnacentral:tRNA from 1 species